rnacentral:lncRNA from 1 species
CGGCGCGGCGGCGUGGGGAGGGAGGUAGGAGCCGAGAGCCGAGGCGGCCGGCUCUGCGGUGACUGGGGAUCCUCGGGCCCUGCCCGCCGUCUGAGGGGGUCACCUGCGCGGCCGUGCGCUGGAGUCACCGAGGAGUCCCGCCGUGCCGGUGGGCGGGGGAGCGUGUCGAGGAGACUCGCGCAGCCCGGGACAGGCACAGAUGGAAGGUCAGCGCUUGUGAAGCUUUGUGCGCCCGGGGCAGAGGGGUCUUUUUUGGAGUCCUUCUAAAGCUUCACGCUGGCUUCAUCAGACUGUUUCUGCAUUUCUCUUAAUUUGCACUGCAUUGUGGAUUCCUCACAAAGAAAAGAAAAUAGAAUAACCUCAUGCCACUUAAUACCACUGAGGUGAUGUCAACUGUUCAAAUUAGUAGAAGAAUUGGAAGCUGAUCUCACAUGCAAAAUCUUUACCUUGUGAAUUAUUCUGCAAGACUAGUUAUAUUUGUUCUAGAUAAAGUGCUAUGCGAAAACACUGUUUCUGAGAAAUAUCUAUAGCAUCAAGAGAAGUAAUUGGACUGUUGGAAGCAGAGGAGUGUUGGUACAAGUUUUGAUGUCUUGUUCUCCUCCACUAACCUUUGUCACAGUGGAAGGAAGGGAUGCCAUUCAGAGGGACCUCAACAGACCUGAAAGCUUCAUAGUCAUUCUCUGGGAUGCUUCUGCUUUGACUUCUGCAGCCUUCCUCCUUUUAAUCCUGUGCCUGGAUGAAGACUAUCAGAUACCACCCCGGUGUGGCUGGGAAAGGAACAUCCAUUCCAUCAGCUCUGCUUCUUGCCUCCUUGCUGGCAGGUACAUGUCUGUGAGUAGCACAGGGGAAACAAGAAGGUCAGCCUCUGGCUUCUCAACGUGCACUGGGUGUAAGGCUGUCAGAGUGUUGCAAACUGUCCUGUCAGGUGUCUUCAAAGUUCUGUUAAUUUAUUUGUUUCUGACUUAGAAGCAAGAGCAAGUUAGUAGAGCUGGUAAUAUAUAGAUAUUUUUUAAUAAUGGCUCUGAGUUAGUUGCAGUGUGUUUUAGAUGAUGUGAUAUUUUCUUCUUUUGUUUUCUAUUACAAAGUACUAUUACAAAGUAUUAAAAUAUUUUGUCCAGAAGUACCUGACAAGUACCAAGAACACAGUUUAAUCUCCCCAUCUUCCCAAGGAAUCCUGUAUCUGUUGUGGUUGUAAACACUGACAAUUAGACUGGCUAAUACACAUAAAUGUGUUUAGAUUAGAGGUAAGAAAAUUGCUUAUUGAUCAUUCUUGAGUAGCUUUUCCCACAGAAGCCAGGAUGUUUUCUACUUGGAAACAUUUUGCGAGGGUAAAACACAUUUAUACAAGCAAGAAUUGUUAGGUAUUCCUCAGCAAUUGCCUUUCAGAGUGUUUAAAUCAUUCUCUAAACUCAAACCGAUAUAAAAUCACCUCUCAAAAGAAUGAAACAUUGCGAUGUUGCAAGAAAUUGCAUAAAGGCAUCCUUUGAAUAAUGACAUCUGCUGCCAUUUGUUUAUGCACGACUGUACAUCUAUAGCAACUGAAAGGCAAAGGUGUCUCUGGAGGUUUAUCCAAUGAGGCACUGUUAUGAGCAUAUGUGAACACGAUGAACUGACUGUGUUUUUCCUGUCUGCACUAGAUCCAGCACCAAGGUAUGAGGAAUGAAGGCAUUUCUACCAGCACAAAGUCAGAUUGUUUUUCUAACAGAUAUGGGAGUCAUAUAGACUGUUAUGUUAGUUUUUAAUAUUGUCUUCAUAGAUAACUUCACUGGGUUUUAUACAAAUGGAAUAAACUUGGUCCAAAAAGCUUUGACUCCAGUGCACCACAAGUUUGAGUUACAGCUGACUUUCACAUAGUGCUUGUACAUAAUAUCUCUGUUCAUGCACUUGAUAUCAAGUUUAUGGACAGGAAAGCAGAACAAGGAAGAAUAUGAAACAACUUCUACUGCAGGGACUAGCACUCCCUUGAUCCAUAGUGACCAAACCGAAUCAUAUCAAACAAAACAGUGCUUUUCAGUGACAAUCUUUCUCUGCAUCCAAGUUAAGGAUAAUAGGACUGACCUCUCGUUAAAUACUUUAAUAUCUACUGAUUAAAGAAGCAAGAUGGCCUAUCAGCUGCUGUGAAACUUUGGAGUGAAAUAAUGCUUCAAAACAUAAGUGUUUCAUUUGCUUGAUUGUUCUGAAUAAGUUCUGCUGAGGCAUUAGCAUCCUUGAAAAAAUAUAUGUGAUAAAUCAUUAACUACAAAAUUAAAUUUCACUAUUUUGAACUUAUUUUUCCAUUAGCUCAAACAACUAGUAAACACACAAAAUAUUCUUGAAAGAAAAUGAGUUCUUGGAGAUUUUUACAUUGCACCUAAGAAUCUUGAACUUUAUUUCAGAAGGGGCCUGUAAAUUGCAGAUCUCCAGAAUAAAAAUAAGAGAGACUAUUUUUUUUUUCUAUAGCUUUUCUAAAAGUUGUAGUUAAAUUAUCUUAAGGAACAUUUCUACUCAAUUCCAGAAUAAACAGAUCUUGAUGUCUCAGUAUGCUGAGACAUAGGAGGAUUGAAAUAGAAUGAUUAUGUCCCAAGACAAUGAGAUUGGGAUUCAAAGUAUUACACACUUACAAAUGAGUGAUACGAAAGGAGAGCCAUCCUGUUUUCAUCACAAGUCCUGUCUGACCUAAGCCCUUAUAUCUUUAGAAACGGGAGGAAUGAAGUAUAAUCUUCAGGUUCAUUGUGUGGAUUGUUGCUGUGUCUGCUUUGUGAGCUAGAAACAGGUAAAAUCAUAUGCUCUUGAAUAGUAUUUUAACAAGCACAGCUGCAGGGGAAUGUAGGUAGAGUAGCUGGGAGUAAAGAAUCUUGUCCAUUAGAGCUGCUAAGGGGGGAAAUAUAAGGUGGAACAUUUUUAUAAUAAGAUUUUCAUCAUGGCUUUUAUAAAGCCAUAGUAAACAAGCUAAAUAUGAAAUAAAAUCACAGCUGAUGUCAAACUGCUUGUAUAGAAGCUCCUAACAAAUGCAAACCUGAAACGUCUGUACAUGAUUUAGAAACUAACAAAUCCCCCUGAAAGAGUUGCCAUCAGACUUAAACUGUGAAGCAAAUAAAGACAUCCGAGUAGAUUUUCUAAUUGCCUGGAUAGGAUGUAUGGUGUUAAGCAUUCAAAGAUUCAAAGGAAGAACAGUACUUGGUGGGAGCUACAGUGCCUGUGAGAUAGGCAGCAAAUGGCUAUCUGCUGUGAAUAUAUAUUUCAGUGCUAGUUAAAGAUCAAUUCAUGCUAAGGUGGAUGGCUUUGUUUAUUUUUGGAUAUUAAAACUGCACAAUUUCUGACUUAGGUCUGAGAGCGCUGCUUGCAUUGCUUUUCUUUUAUGAUGGUAUUGCUGAUCUAUUUUCCCUGUCUUGAUAAUGGUUACGGUAAGAAUAAAUCUUUAUCUAUUUGCUAGGCAGGAUUUGAUUUAUAAGUUAGAUAUGGAAGAUAUGUAAGUUCUGAUAAUCUUAUUAAGAUUCUUUUUGCUUAAUGUAGCCCUGCUGCAUGCUACCAGGUUGUAUUUCAAUACAGUAUUUUAAUGUGUGACAGUUAAGAUCUGUUAGCUCUGAUGAAGCAGGCUCAGAAUAUUGCUUCAGCUGACUACCAUCUGAAUGGAAUCUCAGUAAUCCAAUGCCUGAUAAAAAAUAACUUCAAAGUAUGUUGGAAAAUGCUCCUUUUUUGAGUUUGCGUGUUAUUACUUAGUAAGGUAUUAAUCCUUCUUUUCCACUGAACACUAGUUAUACUACAAGACUUUAAGCUAAGAGACUAGUCCAAUUAUUUUUAGGAAUAGAGAAGGUACAAGAUAGGAAAAGAUAAGUCGUAAUGAAUCUAACUACCAAAAAUAUUGGAAAACUGGAUAGUUCUGGCAAUGUACAUUUUGAACUGAGAAACUGACAGCGCACUGAAGAAGAUUGGAAGAUGGUACCUAAUUUUUAAAAAUGUAAUGUUAUUCCCUAGGCAUUAGUAUUAAGACUUUUAUGCUCCUACUUCUUUUUCAUCAUUUCAAUUUCUCCUUCCCUUCUCUACUCCCAUGUUUUCUGAAUGUGCUGUUUUCACCAGAAUUCUCAGACAUAUGUAAAUGGCCAUUUUUAAGGCAUUUUUACUGCUCAGAUGUCCAAAAGUGAUUACUUUUUUCAACUCUUUUCUCUGUCUCAGAGCUUGCAUGUGAUUUUUUUUGUGUGUGUUCUUUUGUUGUUGUUAUUUGUGUUUGAUUUCAUUAAACACAUUAUUUUCAGAUGAGUCAGUGAAUGAGAAAGUCUUAUAACACUGUUCUUUCGAAUGGGAGCUGGAUGUUCUCUCUCAUUUUGAAUAAUUAAUUAGCAGUAAUUUAAUGAGCACUAGCUUCCAUAAACAGACUUCAGGAUUUUCUUAUUUAUCUUUUGCUUAUCUUUUACAUAUAUCAGCCAGUGUUCUGAUGCCUCUUAGCGGUACCCAGUUGUUCUUUGCUCGAUCCCAGCCCAAUCUACAAGCAUCAUUACAUUGAUGAAAGAGUAAUCAAUUCUGAUUACUAGUGGUAGAGGACUAAUGAAUGAGAUAUUACUAUGCCUGUUCUGUAAAUGCUGCAUGGAGUUUAGAUGGCUGUGUUGUACAGGAGAUCUUGGAGGUGUAGAUGAUACCACUGAGAUGAUACAUCUUGGGUUAAAGUAGAUUUGUACGUGCUUAGCAGGAUACCGUUAUCUUGUCUGUUAGCUGUCUGGAUUUUAGAUGUCUGAUUAUUGUUCUUUAGGUGGAACAGAUUAAACAUUUUCCGCUCAAGUGAAAAACAUCUGUCUCAUUUUUCCUUGUGAAGGAAUUGCCCACAGUUUUUACAUUUACGAGAUCAUGGGGGAGUGGAAUGGAACCUGAUGGGCUUGGAUGCUGUGCUAUGUUGUUUUUUGUUGUUGUUGUUGUUUGUUUGCUUUAAGUUUACUAUGGAAACUGUUCAUUCUUCAAAUGCAAAAUUCUACGGAAGCAAUAAGGGUACAGUCAUUCAUUUCCUCACUUUUUUUUUUUUUAACUUGUCUAAACACUAAUUGUUAGAUAUGUGUGGGAAAUAGGGAAAACAGGAUACUGGAGUCUGUGAGCUGCUUAUUAACUGUUGUUCUCUCUCUAAGUGUGGAGUUUCCAAUAUUCCAUUCAGAAACGACGGAGUUCUUAGUUGUUAAUGUCAGUAGGCGCUGGAUUUGCUCUGGUGUUUGUACUGAUCCCAGGGCAGUUCCUACUGAAAAAAAAAAACCCGAUGUUAGUUGGCAGCAAGCUGCUUCUGUUGUUCCCUUCCUGUCCCA